UACGGAGGGUGCGAGCGUUGUCCGGAAUCACUGGGCGUAAAGGGCGCGUAGGCGGCGCGGGCAGUCAACGGUGAAAGCUUGGGGCUCAACCCCGAGUCGGCCGUCGAUACUCCCGGGCUGGAGCACUGUAGAGGCAGGUGGAAUUCCGGGUGUAGCGGUGGAAUGCGUAGAGAUCCGGAAGAACACCGGUGGCGAAGGCGUCCUGCUGGGCAGUAGCUGACGCUGAGGCGCGACAGCGUGGGGAGCAAACAGG
rnacentral:rRNA from 1 species